rnacentral:lncRNA from 1 species
GCUGCCUGAAGGUCGCUGCAGAGUAGUUCCUAGGUUUCCUUCUCUCAAAAUCUUUCUCCAGUGAAUCUCCCAGUGUAACUCCAAGUGUCCUUUCCUCUACUGAAACUUCAGUAUUUAUAGACUGAUUUUCGUGGGUAGUGGGCUCAAAUGAGGGAGACCCAAGUCCAAAAAAAUUUGUUAUAUUUUAUUUAUUUAUUUAAUUAAUUUUAUUUAUUUAUUUAUUUUUAACUUUUUUUUUUUUCGUUUUUUUUUCCAGGAAAAAUGAAGGGUAAAUUUUAGGGUAUUACACUUGGUUCUAAAGUCCAAGGGAAAUUUGGGUUUCUAUAUGACAUGCUUGUCUAUUGGACUGCAACUCAUUGGUCAGAUCUUUUCAACUCUUAACUUUUA